CACGUAGGGCGCAAGCGUUGUCCGGAAUUAUUGGGCGUAAAGAGCUCGUAGGCGGUGUGUCGCGUCGGCCGUGAAAACCUGUGGCUUAACUAUGGGCUUGCGGUCGAUACGGGCAUCACUGGAGUUCGGCAGGGGAGACUGGAAUUCCUGGUGUAGCGGUGAAAUGCGCAGAUAUCAGGAGGAACACCGGUGGCGAAGGCGGGUCUCUGGGCAACAACUGACGCUGAGGAGCGAAAGCGUGGGGAGCGAACAGG
rnacentral:rRNA from 1 species